GCACACCACUGUAUGGCUAAUUUUUUAAAAAAUUGUGAUGGCCGCAAACACCAGCCUCCUUUUUAGUGUUUGCACGCAUCCUGUCACUUGUGCAGGUUGCUCUAAGGGACCUUUGGAGACAGCC
rnacentral:snoRNA from 1 species